AUUGAACGCUGGCGGCAUGCUUUACACAUGCAAGUCGAACGGUAACAGGCCGCAAGGUGCUGACGAGUGGCGAACGGGUGAGUAAUGCAUCGGAACGUGCCCAGUCGUGGGGGAUAACGCAGCGAAAGCUGUGCUAAUACCGCAUACGAUCUGUGGAUGAAAGCGGGGGACCUUCGGGGCUCGCGCGAUUGGAGCGGCCGAUGUCAGAUUAGGUAGGUGGUGGGGUAAAGGCUCACCAAGCCAACGAUCUGUAGCUGGUCUGAGAGGACGACCAGCCACACUGGGACUGAGACACGGCCCAGACUCCUACGGGAGGCAGCAGUGGGGAAUGUUGGACAAUGGGCGCAAGCCUGAUCCAGCAAUGCCGCGUGCAGGAAGAAGGCCUUCGGGUUGUAAACUGCUUUUGUACGGAGCGAAAAGGCUCUCUCUAAUACAGGGGGCUCAUGACGGUACCGUAAGAAUAAGCACCGGCUAACUACGUGCCAGCCGCCGCCGUAAUAC
rnacentral:rRNA from 1 species